AGUAAAAAUGAACCUCUCUAGAGUUUACGUCAAAAUUAGGCCAAGUUAAGGUCAAGGUGAAAACAAUGGCGGCGCCCAUGCAGCGUUCGAUGUUGAAGUUGCUGAGAUCAUCUUCUGCUGCUUUAAAAAGAUCUUUUAGCACAUCAAGGGUUGCUACAACUUCUUCCGUCAUACAGCAUAAAAAGUAUUCAACAGAACCCCACUUUAGUAAAUAUGGAGGAAGAACAACUGUGACAGCUCUAUCAGGGGAUGGAGUGGGACCAGAGCUCUUAUCCUAUGUUCAGGAAAUAUUCAGAUAUGCUGGAGUGCCUGUUGACUUUGAGGAGUUGGAGAUAAAUGGUAGUACUACUGAUGAAGAAACACUCCGCAGUGCUCUUCUCUCAGUCCAACGCAAUGGGAUAGCCCUGAAAGGAAAUAUUGAAAGUAAAUUUGAUGAACCAGGAUUCAAAUCUAUGAAUGUUGAAUUACGCACACAGUUGGAGCUGUUUGCCAGUAUUGUUUGGUGCAAGUCCAUCCCUGGGGUGUACACCAGACACCAGGGUCUGGACAUCAUCCUGAUCCGAGAGAACACGGAGGGAGAAUACUCAAACCUGGAAUACCAGAUUGUACCUGGCUGUAUAGAAAAUCUUAAAAUCAUAACAGAAGCAAAGUCUACAAAGAUUGCCAAGUACGCUUUUGAAUUUGCCAAGACACACGGGAGGAAGAAAGUCACUGCCAUUCACAAAGCAAACAUCAUGAAAUUAGGAGACGGACUGUUUUUGGAGUCCUGUAGGAAGGUGGCUAGUCAAUACCCAGACAUAGAAUUCAACGACAUGAUCGUGGACAACGCUAGUAUGCAGAUGGUGUCUAAGCCUCAGCAGUUUGACGUCCUGGUGAUGCCCAAUCUCUAUGGUAACAUCCUGAGUAACAUCACGGCCGGUUUGGUGGGAGGAUACGGGGUGGUGUCGGGGAUGAACAUCGGAGACGAUUACGCCGUGUUUGAAAUGGGAACAAGAAGUUCUGGUCGCAGUCUGAAGGGUAAGAACAUAGCUAACCCAACAGGGAUGCUACUCGCCAGCUGCGACAUGCUGGACUACAUCGGAUGCAACAAGCAUGCAGAGUUGAUCCGUGAUUCUGUGAUGAAGGUGAUGUCGGUGGAUAAGGUUCAGACCCCAGACCUGGGGGGUCAGGCUACCACCCUAGAAGUCAUCCAGGCCAUUAUUGAGGACAUUAAGCCAAAGACGUCCAGCUGGAGUACGACAGCGGCUCAAAAUGUAUACAGCCUACGAUGAUGAUGACAGUGGUCACUAUAGUUAAUUCAACUCUAGAGAGCUGCAUGCGUAGACCUAUAGAGAUGACAAAAAGAUGGCAGACGUUCAAGGAAUGAAGCAUCAAGGAGAGAAACAAAUAUAAAGAUGUAGAGAAAAUAACAAGAAAUCUAGUUGAAAAUUUUCCCCUCGAACAUUUAUUUAUUGAGCCCUAAUAGUACAAUAAUAUUGUACAUGUAUGUGUAUUGUGUACAUAUUGUGUACGUGUAACGCGUUCUUGAUUUUGACUUUUUAUGUGUGUACAUACAUUUUAUGUAAUAGUUUUAUGCCUUUAUCUGUUACAUGUUAGCAUAUUACAGAAGUGUUAAAUAAUUGUGUUGUGUCCGGAGAUUAAAUCUAAUAUUGACAGUUA